AACGAACGCUGGCGGCAUGCCUAACACAUGCAAGUCGAACGAGACCUUCGGGUCUAGUGGCGCACGGGUGCGUAACGCGUGGGAACCUGCCCUUAGGUUCGGAAUAACUCCCCGAAAGGGGUGCUAAUACCGGAUAAUGUCUUCGGACCAAAGAUUUAUCGCCUUUGGAUGGGCCCGCGUUGGAUUAGCUAGUUGGUAUGGUAAAAGCCUACCAAGGCGACGAUCCAUAGCUGGUCUGAGAGGAUGAGCAGCCACACUGGGACUGAGACACGGCCCAGACUCCUACGGGAGGCAGCAGUGGGGAAUAUUGGACAAUGGGCGAAAGCCUGAUCCAGCAAUGCCGCGUGAGUGAUGAAGGCCUUAGGGUUGUAAAGCUCUUUUACCCGGGAUGAUAAUGACAGUACCGGGAGAAUAAGCUCCGGCUAACUCCGUG
rnacentral:rRNA from 1 species